GUGCCAGCCGCCGCGGUAAUACGUAUGGUGCAAGCGUUAUCCGGAAUCACUGGGCGUAAAGGGUACGUAGGCGGUUUUGCAAGUCAGAAGUGACAGGCUACAGCUCAACUGUAGUAAGCUUUUGAAACUGCAAGACUAGAGUGCAGGAGAGGCAAGUGGAAUUCCUAGUGUAGAGGUGAAAUUCGUAGAUAUUAGGAGGAACACCAGUGGCGAAGGCGACUUGCUGGACGGUAACUGACGCUGAGGUACGAAAGCGUGGGGAGCGAACAGGAUUAGAAACCCCAGUAGUCC
rnacentral:rRNA from 1 species